rnacentral:rRNA from 1 species
CCCAUUGAUUAAUAAUAUUAAAAGGCUGCGGUAUUUUAACUGUACGAAGGUAGCAUAAUCAUUUGUCUUUUAAUUGAAGGCUCGUAUGAAUGGUUUGAUGAAAUAUAAACUUUCUUUUAAUUAUUUUUUUGAAUUUAAUAUUUUAGUUAAAAAGCUAAAAUAUUUUUAUAGGACGAGAAGACCCUAUAGAAGUUUACUAAUUUCAUAAAAUUAUAUAUUUUGAUUUUAAAUUAUUUUUUUAAAAGAAUGAGUUUUAUUGGGGUGAUAUUAAAAUUAAAUUAACUUUUAAUUAAUCUUUUCAUUGAUUUAUGUUUUUUUGAUCCAAAAUUUUUGAUUAAAAGAUUAACUUACCUUAGGGAUAACAGCGUAAUUUAUUUGGAGAGUUCUUAUCGAUGAAUAAGUUUGCGAC